UUGCCUAUAGUUAAAAGCACCCCAAAAAGUUUACUUUCUACCACUGCUGGUAUCGUUUAAUUUUGAUGACAUUAUCUCAUAAAUUCGACAUCUUUAUGCUGUAAUGUUAAUUAUGACAAUCUACUGACUAUUGUAGCAAUAGGAACUUCAGUCAUUAGUUUAUGUAAAAGUCGAGUUCGUUAAGAAAGGGCACCUGGAGUUUUAGCUAACUAGAGAGGCUAACGGUUAGCGUUAUGUUUCGCUGUGUUAUAAACGGAGAGCAGUGAGCAGUUUCAAAGACAUCUCAUCCCCAAGUUUUAGGCUCCCACCACAGAGGAGAUGGCGUGAGAAUCAGCAGUCGUCUUCUGAUCUGAUGGUGGGAGGUUUUCCUUGGACCAGUUCGUCUGUUUAUCCUGGGUCGAGGGGGCAUUGGGGGCUGAGGCCUUGGCUCUGUGGCCCCCCAGGACCUCACCACCUUCACCUUCCCCUGUCGAGGUAGCCUGGAAUAAACAGGCAGCAGCAACGUUAUAUACAUGGUGCAGUGUCAGCAACUUGCAGUGUCAUCAUCAGGACUUGCAUGCCAACAGCACCAAGAGAGGAGAGGAGAGGGAGUAGAGUAAAAAAGAAGACAUGUCACAUCUGAGAGCCCAAGAGAGCGACAGACAGUGAUAUAUAGAGAGGGAGACAGGGGGAGAAGGGAAGGGAGGGGAAAGGGCUUCUGAGGCAACUGAGGAAACACCAAUGUGCUGUACCUGAGAACAGGAGGGGUCUGCUGUUGCUACCUCAACCUGAAAUAACCCAAGUGAGGCUGUGAGUUCACUACCAAAUGUCACCUGUCUUGUCUCCUACAUGCAGCACCCCUGCGGAGUACAAAAACGACCAUCUGUGAGAGCCUCUGUGUGGAACUUUCUUGUGAUGCUGAGAGGAAAUCACUAAGUUGAACAUGGAUGGAACAUGCAUUCUCUUCAUCCUGGAACAACUCCCCCACUUUAUUGUAGCCAAUAAAGGACCUAUUUACAUUGUUACACUAGAUACUGUAUGUUUCCUUUCCACUGUCUCUUGUUGCUAAGGAGUAGUGACUCUGUUAAUGUACCAUUUCCUAAAGAACCGACAACAUCUGUAUCCUUCUGACAGCCUCUAUUUUUCUGAGAGCAGUGACUUUACAGUCUAUUGAAGUCUAGUGUUACGUAAUACUACACAAGGUAAAAAGUUACUCAUUGGUACUUGUGGAAUUACAGCACUGAACUUUAUGCUAAAUGCUGGAGUCACUAUAUUACAGAGAUGUCCACUCAGUGUGCAGACACUGACGGACACACACAUACACACACACUGACCCAGAGAGAUUGCUGAGUAUGUGCAUUUUUUUGGUCCCCAGUCAUCUGUCAAAGGUUUUUGGGGGAAUGGUGUUGAUGAUGGGGUCUCCAGACAGAGAUGACAGCAGUUCAGGACAGUUCAGUUUAGCAUGUCACAGGAGGCUGACACACAAAUGUGCACACACACACACAUCAGAGAGGCAUUUAUGCAUGGACAGACAUAUUGGAUACACACACAGAAACAAACAAAAAGGAACAACACACUGAGCUGCAGUGUCAAGUUUUACCAGGAAACAGAACUGUAAUGCAACAAGGUUGUCACUGUCUAUUUUUUGUAUAUCUGUUACAGUAUACACAGGUUGUUUGUAACCAGCACCUGAUUCUGUCAUGUUAAAGUAGCCUACAUUUAUCACCAUCUCAAGAUUAUGAGCACAAUUUAGGUUAUUACUUAUAAUAAUCAUGUAAUGAAGUGUUACGUUUUCAGAUCCCCUGAAAGUCAGGUGCUCCAUUACACAUAACCAAUCAUAAUGUUUUAAUUUGCA